ACKGCUCAGUAACACGUGGACAACCUACCCUGGGGUGGGGGAUAACCCCGGAAAACUGGGGAUAAUACCCCAUAGACAAGGGAAGCUGGAAUGCUCCUUUGUCGAAAGGUCAGCCGCCCCAGGAUGGGUCUGCGGCCGAUUAGGUUGUUGUUGGGGUAACGGCCCAACAAGCCACUGAUCGGUACGGGUUGUGGGAGCAAGAGCCCGGAGAUGGAUUCUGAGACACGAAUCCAGGCCCUACGGGGCGCAGCAGGCGCGAAAACUUUACAAUGCGAGCAAUCGUGAUAAGGGAACCCCGAGUGCCCGUAAAUUCGGGCUGUCCGCCAGUUUAAAAAGCUGGUGAAGAAAGGGCCGGGCAAGACCGGUGCCAGCCGCCGCGGUAAUACCGGCGGCUCGAGUGGUGGCCGCUAUUACUGGGCUUAAAGCGUCCGUAGCUGGGCUGUUAAGUCCCCUGGGAAAUCCAUCGGCUUAACCGAUGGGCGUUCAGGGGAUACUGGCAGCCUAGGGACCGGGAGAGGUGAGAGGUACUCCAGGGGUAGGAGUGAAAUCCUGUAAUCCUUGGGGGACCACCUGUGGCGAAGGCGUCUCACUAGAACGGCUCCGACAGUGAGGGACGAAAGCUGGGGGAGCAAACCGGAUUAGAUACCCGGGUAGUCCCAGCUGUAAACGAUGUGCGUUAGGUGUAUCGGUGACCACGAGUCACCGAGGUGCCGAAGAGAAAUCGUGAAACGUACCGCCUGUGAAGUACGGUCGCAAGGCUGAAACUUAAAGGAAUUGGCGGGGGAGCAC
rnacentral:rRNA from 1 species